rnacentral:lncRNA from 1 species
AUUCACACAGAAAAUUCAAAUUCACAAAGAAUUCAAGGUAAAUAAUUAACAAAUAAUUCCUAGGUCUAACAACAGACAAUGAUUACUCCCACACGAUGCUUUUAAUGUGAAAAGUAGAAGGCUAUCCCACAGGGUAGGCAUAACUACAAUAAUAAAAGAAAAGAACAUGAUAUCUAGCAAACUAUAUCUGAGAGUCCAUAAAUAUUGAGAGAUAUGAAUUCACCACUAUAGGGCUACUUCUAUUUUCCAUAACGAUUCAGCUACAAUAACCAAGAAAUGACACUCGACAACCGAAAACACGAAUGGCAAAAUUGUCCAGAUCAUAUCAUAUCGUUCAGAACAAAAAAUAGUCACCACUGUAGGUAACAUAGUGCCUCUAGGAGCAAACUAUAAGAUGAAACUUGACAAAAAACCACCCACGCGCUCACAUUCACCUCGCCGGAGAUCUACGCUUGUCAUCCACUUGUAGCCGUAUAUGUCGUCAUUGCUAGUUACACACCUACCAACCAGCACCGUCUCCAUUCAUCCUCUAGGUAAGCGAUUUGGCCAAAAAUCAAGCAAACAAAUCUGGCCAGAUUUCCAGAAAAUCCCAGUUUCCUGUCUCUAUUUUCUACCAAUCUUCAACUUCAAUUCUACCACUUUUCAGCCAAUUUUGCUCCAAAAAUUUUAUAGAUUCCUCAACAAUACAUGCUCGAUACCAUUUAUUGGUGAAAUCUCCGAGAAAUCUUGAAACUGGACUCAAUUUAUUUACCAAAUAAUUGAACACCAACCAUUAUGGUUGGCCUCAAACUAAAACCAAAUCUCACUAGGAUUGCCUCUUAACAUUAACCUACAAGUGAUAAAUAAGGUAGCUGCAAUAUCACAAAGGCACUAAGACACCAAGCAAAGCUCUCAAAUUGCAAGAAUAGAACAUUUGCCUCUCUUUUUUUUCUCUAUUGCACAAACCACACACACUAGUGAUUAAAUGCAUCGACGAAGGAGGAAAAAAAUAGAGGAAGCAAUAGUUGAACUCCAAUUUCUCUCCUAUACAGCUAUCCUCACAUUUUCUUUCCACUGUACAAUUCCACUCACACGUUUCAAC